GAAAGUUCUUACUCAAGUGGAAGUAUCUCAAUUGGCUGGAUGGCACUGCCAUGUGGUCAGUGUGUCAGUGAAGCCACACCAAUGGCAUUGAAUAGCUGCCGAUAUGUAAAGCCCACCUUGAAUCCCCUUCAGGGAAAGAAAUAUCUUAAAUAAAUAAGUAAUAAAUAAGCC
rnacentral:lncRNA from 11 species